CGCCCGGCAGCGCCUCGAGCCCGCGCUGGCGGCGGGGCUGUCUCUUUAAGCGCUCCGGAGGGGCUGGGGCGGGAGGGCGGCGAGCGCGUUUCCAUGGCACCGGGGCUGCGGGGGCUGCCGGGCCGCUGGGCUCACUCGGCUUCAGUCGCUCCCGGCGGAGCAGGGGCAGGCAGAGCUCAGCGGCCACCCAGCCUCUGGGGCUCGCCCGGCCGCUCCCCUCAUGCUCCCAGCCGCCUGUGACGCCUGGUGGGGCCGCGCUGCUGCGGUUCCCUCCGCGGAGAGACGCACCGCGCCAGCCCCGCGAGCCCGGCACACCAACUUCUGCCUGACGAGCCCAACUUCUGCGCUGGGUUCGCACUUGCGGAGCCAGAACGGCGCGCCGCGCACAGCCGGGGCGGCGGCCCGGGCGGAUCAGCCUCGCCGAGGCGUCCUCGCGACGGCGGCGCUGGUGCUUCUGCGCCUGGGCGGUUGUCGGCUGGCCGCCAGGAAGCGCCCUACAGCUCCGUCCCGCCAUGCCAAAUGUUUGUGAAGAACAGUAACUGACUGUGGUGGGACUUGCACACACAUGUUCGGGCAUUCACGCCCAUUGUCAAGCUCUGGAAACAAGGCCAUGCUGCCUCAAGUUGGUGUGUGAGCUGUGAAAAAAGUGGGAACUUGUUUCAGAGGAAGCAAACGCUCAGGUGGUGAAGGCCAGUAGUGCUAGUGUUCAGAGGGAUUACAUGGACCCCACUGUCAAUAUGAUAUAAAUGAAUGUACCAUUGACAAUGCUGGCUGUCAAGAUUGAUGCUGUAAUACAGUUGGCAGUUAUUACUGCAAAUGUCAAGCUGGCCAGAAGCUAGAGGAAGAUGGCAGAGGAUGUGAAGAUGUUGAUGAAUGUGCGACGGUGAAUGGAGGCUGCCAGCAGCGCUGUAUUAACACUCUGGGCUGCUUCCACUGUGAAUGUGAUACGGGAUAGAGACUGCAUGCUGACGAACGCUCCUGCAUAAAUGCGGAUGAGUGUCUGGAUGUCAGUAUAGUCAUGACCAACUACAUUAAUUCUGUGGGAACAUACGAAUGUAGUGUGAAGAAGCCUACAGAAUUGGAAAUGACAGAAAAACUUCCACCUACUGUCCCAAGGGUGCCCACGGAGCUGGCUGCUCUUCAGAAUGUCAGUGUGUAGAGGAGAAUACCCUGGAAUGCAGUGCCAAAAAUGGUAGUUGCACCUGCAAAUCUGGUUACCAAGGCAACAGAUGCCAGAAAGAUGGCCUCUGGGGACAAGAGUACUGGUUCUCCUAUGUGCCCUGUGAAAAUGGAGGUCAGCGCAACAGAAAAACUGGAAGUUGUGACUGCACUCCUGGUUACACAGGAAAAUCCGGUACCAUAUGUAAGUCAUAAACCUAGACUAAAUAACCAACAAAGUUGAUAAAGUUGUUAGCUUU